AGGGAGGGAGCGAACGAGAUAGCAGACUCCUGAGAGUGACCCCAGCUCUGUGACCGUGACUCACUCCUCUCCAGGAGCAGCAGAUACACUGCUCAUCCUCUCCAUCAAAGGAUGUGGGGAACUGUUCUGGGUCCCAAAGCUUCAGCAGUGGCCUUGGGCUAUUGACACACAGACAGGGAGAGCAGGGCAAAGGUCAGCUCUGCCUCCUCCGGGAAGGGCUGAGUUCUGGAGCAGCUGAUGGCUGAGCCACCAAAGCCUGAAGGAAGAGACAAAGCCAAGAGGUGGCACCGUGUGGGCUCAGGACCCACGGUGUAGGAAGAUAACCCUUCCGGUUCUGCAGAACCUCAGCCGGAAAUAUCAGAAGGAGGAGGGGCCAUUUACCUGCGGCUGUACAGCAGAGAAGUGGCCUGGCUGGCUUCAAACACCAGGGACCCAGAUCCUGACCCCAGUUCACUUCCCAGAAUUCCUUGCUGGAGACUACCUGAGACUGACAAGUGUCAUAAUUCUGGGUAGGUAGCCCUUAUGACUCCUCAGGGUCCAGAACAUGUUGGAAGUGACAAGGGCCAGUGGCACUGCCUGGCAAGAUUGAAGCCCACCCAGCUCUGCAGGCUGGUUACUGUGCAGCCUGAGGAAGAGCCUCACCCUCUCUGAUCUUCAGUUUCCCAGAUGUCCAGUGUGUCCUGGAAAUGUCAGUGGGGAUGCAGGCUCUGUAAGGAAGGGUGAAUGUCUGGCUCUCCGUGGAGCAUGGAGUUCUGCUACAUUGGGGUGGGGCUGUCCAGCGUCACUCACGUUAGGUGCCAAUUAAUUAUAGGGCCAGCUCCCAGUUCAGAUACUGAUGUUGCCGUUAGCAUCUGUGCGAUCAGAGACAUAUCCGUUCCACAGCACCAUUUCUGAUUUUUUUUUUAUCAAAUAACGAACAUAUACCAGGCUCUACAUCAUAUCAGGGACAUUUCUAAGUGUGGGAGACUCACUGAUGGACAAGGUCAUUCCUCUUCUGAGAACAGGUCAGGCCAUUCUCCACGUCCCCAGCAUCCAGAAACGCCUGAUGACAGAUGACAAAGAAACAGCUGAGGAGAUGGGUCAGAGGUGAGGCGCUUGCUGAGGGCCUCCAUGUAAAGCUAAGCACUAGAGAGGCGGAGACAGGAGGAUCAUGGGACUUAGCAGUAGCCGCUUAGCCUGCUUGGCACAGUCCAGACAGGUGAGAGACCCUGUCUCAGUGAACAGUGUGGACGAAACCUUAGGAAGGGCACCCAGGCUGACCUUCAGCUUCCACGUGGUCAUGCAUACACGUGCCUCUUACCUCCCAGCUUAGUCCUUAACCUUGCCACUCCAGUGUUGGGGGCUGGAGGGUUCUCCGUGCUGGGUUAUCCUGUGCAUAGUAGGGUAUUAUGUGUGACUUGGUCUGUGCCCUUGAGUUGCCAGAACAUCUCCAUGGUGGAGAUGUUUUCAGACAACCAAAGGUCUUUGGAGGGGGCAGGAGGAUCAGCUCUGACAAAACUAUGGCCAUGUACGUGGUGACAUCGUCAUGGUACACAGUGGGACACAGGUGAUACUCAAGCUGUUCAGAAAACAGAACUGUUACCUGUUCAGGGGACACUGUCUCUGCUUCCCCCUUGGGCAGUUGUCUGCAGAACUGCAUACUAGUAGCUCGCUUAGUAUACAGUAGGUGCUCGAUUCUGAGGAUGAAGAGGAGGAGGAGGGAGAAGAGAGGGCAAAGGCUUCUGGGACAGUGUGAAAGCAUCGGAGAGGUGAGUGCCCCUGGGACCCUUGGGGGUCCCUGCACCCACAGAGAACACAGGUUUGGUCCCUCAGGGGGAGCUAGCUUAGCCCUCAGCCCUCCUGAAUUUGAUAAUUAAGAUGUAUAAGUGUUCUGUGGCUGGAAGGCCAGAAGUGACCAGGCCUGGCCUUGCUUGGCUUUGGUGACGUGGUGGCCCUGAGACUAUGGCCUUCUUAGGCCCAUAAACAAGGAGUUGUGUGCCCCAAACCAGGUCAGCCAGGCGAAGGUCUGCACCAUGGCCUCAUGUUAAAGCCUCAUUGUCAGAAGAGGGCUCUCCAGUGCUGGGCAGCAAGGCUGCAGAAGGCACCUCAUUCCCAAGAGGCCACUGUCAUCUCCCUCUCUCCCCACAGCCUGUACUUUAUUAAUCCCCUGCUGUAUACAGGGCCAGCCAAAGCCUUUUCCAUAAUGUCCCCUUCCGCAUCAUGACUGGGGCUCUCUCUCUUGACCAGAUGAGAGGCUUUGACACUGUCAUCUCCAGGUCUGGGCAAUGCUCCCAGGCUCCCAGAGGUAAGCCACCGGUCACCAGGACACAGCUAAGUAGAGUGGAGGACUGGAGUCCUCUACUCUGGCCCUGGCUCUCUUUUCCAUGUCCGCCUAGCUUUCUCUGUUGUAUUGCCUGUGGUCUCGGUCUGAUUCUUCCUCUGUCUCCCCGCCCACCCCAUUAUCCACACCCUCUCUGCCUCCCUCUUCUCUCUCCAUGUUCCUUCCUCUCAGCCUGUCUCUUCUGCCCCCUCCAUCCCCGGUUCUCUGGAUGGCCCCACCUUGCCUCUGCUGCACUCAGUCUUUGUCCUGACGCCAGCACAUUAUGUCCCUGGUCUGGUCAGAGCCUGACGUCAGGCAGGGCCUGGCGGGCAGCCAUGGACACUGCUGCUGCUGUUGCUGCUGCCGGGCAGGCAGAAGAGCUAGGUUCCUGGUCCCCCAGCAGUGGCUGGUCCUCCACCUCAGCCUCAGCCUGCCCUGAAGAGGACAGUGCUCAGUGGCUGCCUUGCCUGUAAGUGGAGCUGCAGGCUGCUGGCUUUUUCUUUCUCUUCCUUGGACCCCCAGCUACACAAACAGCUCCUGCUGCUGCCAGGCCCAGAGAAUGGAUCUCACAGGGUCCAGUCCUGGCUGUGUGGCAUUAGGCAAGUCACACAGCUUCUCUGAGCCUCUGUUCUGUGUAAGAAAUGAGGCAGGCUAGGCAGUUCACCAAGCGGCUGGCUGGUGUCUGAAGGCCUGGCAAGCAUGGGUUUAAACCAUUGCCUGUCAAAGCCUUGCUUCUCCAGGAGAGGAUGGCCAGCUGAGCUAGGAGAAACUGAGGUCAUAGUGACAGGGCUCAGAUGGCCAUUGGCCAUUGGCCAUCUGUGCAGGCCUCAACGGUCCCAGGCAGAAGGGAGCCCUUUCCAAACUCCAAACAGGGUCCUGCUGAAUGGGACAUCCCAAGUCCAGCCUCUGGUCUCAGCCUGCCAUAGGCUAAGUAAGUGGGGUUUUUAGAAAGGCCUUGUUUUUAAGUCACACACACACGUGUGUGUGUGUGUGUGUGUGUGUGUAUGUGUGUGUGUGUGUGUGCAAGUGUGAGUACAGAUUCCCCACCCCCACCCCGUAAAGAGUUACAGGCAGUAGUGAGUCUCCUGAUCUGGAUUCUGGGAAUGGUACUUGGGACCUCUGGAAGAGCUAGAAGCACUUUUAACUGCUGAGCCAUCUCUCCAGCCUCCAAAUGCGUGCUUUGAAAAAUGCAGCGUCUCUCGCUCACAUCCCCACGUGUUUCUGAAGCAGCCGUGGCUCCGCUGAAGAGCGCUGAGGCCCCUGAUGACAUCAUCAGGAAGCUGAAGCUGCCUGGUGGUGAGGUAGCAUCAGGUUCAGACUUGGGUCUCACAUAGCCAGCGGCUUUGUGUCCCAAGUCUGUCGGGGUGAGUUUUGGGGGGUGAAAAAGGAGUAGACCCUAGGAGGACAGACAGAGCCAUGCUCUCCAGGGGGCCCAGGUCUCAGUGUGAUGAUCCGUCCUAUCCUGCACACUUCCUUCCUGUGUCUAGUUCUUAUUUGAAGCACGAGAGAAACAGACAAGUCCCAGAGAAACAGACAAGUCCCAGAGGAUAAACUGGGCAACCCAGAAACAUACUCUACAGCUUUCAUGGAAAUGUGGCUUAGUAACGUGUGUGCACCCGUGUGUUUAUGUGUGUGUAUGUAUGUGUGUGUGUGCAUGUGUAUGUAUAUGUAUAUGUGAGUGUCUGUAUGUGAGCAUAUAUGUAUGUGUGUGUUUAGGGGUAUACAUGUGUGUAUGUGUGAGUGAAUGUAUAUAUGUGUAUAUGUGUGGGCAGGUGUGUGUGUGUUGUAUGGGAGCAUUUGUGUGCAGCUUCGCCUGUGCACACCUCAUAGAGAGAUGAGGAGGACCUGUGUGCCCUGCUCUCACUCCCUCUGCUGUGUUUCCUUUAAGACAGGGUCACUCACUGAGCCUAGAGUUAGGUUGGUGGCCAGGAAGCCCCAGGGAUCCUCCUGUCCCCACUCCCCAUGGCAUCAGGGUUAGAGGCAAGGGAGUGACCAUACCUUCUGUUAAUGUAGGUUCUGGAUAUUUGAACGCAGGUCCUUGUGCUUGCUCAGCCAGCACCGUUUCCUACGUUUCCUACGGAGCCGUGGAUUUGAUCUUCCUGUGGCUUUCAUUUGCAUUUUUCACGAAAGCAAAGCGGGGGCCUUCCUAUAGCUUUAUCCUAGGAUGCCUUCACCUGCCAAUAUUGUUUGGACCCGUUAAGGGUCUGGAGAUGUCCUGUGCGAGCCAAGCCUCCUUCUGCCCCAGGCUCUGCUUUUCCUUCCUGCUAAUGAAGUUGUCAAGUUCUUUCUCCGUCAGUCAGACACAUGGUUCUCCAGGACCCGACUCCAUCUCCUCUACACUUUGUUGCUGCUUUUGAGCCCCUCCCUAUGACAAUAUAAAAAGAGGGGGGAGCAGAAGGAAGCCAGGCUCAGCCAUCAUCUCACUCCCUCUUCUGCAGGCCGGGAAGCAUCCUGGCACCCCUCUCCCUGAUGUGGAAGCGCUGUUCCAGCACGGAAGUCUGUGACGUUUGUGUGUGUGGUGUGGUUGUUGUCACGGGAGGCAGCGGCAGCCAUGUCACUCUCCACAGACACAUGGUAGGUCUGAGGAAAUGAAUGGAUGAGCGUGUAGGUUUUCCAAAGAGUUCUCCAGCCUACGACUGCCCAGAGAGCUGCCUCCAGCUUCUCAUUCUGAUGCCUGUGCUGGAGACACCACAAUAAACAUCGUUUUGAAGUCGACCAGAA